GACGAACGCUGGCGGCGCGCUUAACACAUGCAAGUCGAACGGAAAGGCCUGCUUUCCCUUGUGGAUUGCGGGUACUCGAGUGGCGAACGGGUGAGUAACACGUGAGUGAUCUGCCCCCAACUUUGGUAUAAGCCUGGGAAACUGGGUCUAAUUCCCGAUAGGACUGCAGGGUGGUGCCUGUGGUGGAAAACGAUUUUCUAGUGGUUGGGGAUGAGCUCGCGGCCUUUCAGCUUGUUGGUGGGGUAAUGGCCUACCAAGGCGGCGACGGGUAGCCGGCCUGGGAGGGUGGACGGCCACAGUGGGACUGAGAUACGGCCCAGAAUCCUACGGGAGGAAGCAGUGGGGAAGAUGGCACAAUGGGCGGAAGCCUGAUGCAGCGACGCCGCGUGGGGGAUGACGGCCUUCGGGUUGUAAACUCCUUUCGACAGCGAGGAAGCCACCUGGUUGGAAGGGUGGUGACGGUAGUGGUAGAAGAAGCACCGGCUAACUACGUG
rnacentral:rRNA from 1 species